rnacentral:rRNA from 2 species
GGUUAAGCGACUAAGCGUACACGGUGGAUGCCCUGGCAGUCAGAGGCGAUGAAGGACGUGCUAAUCUGCGAUAAGCGUCGGUAAGGUGAUAUGAACCGUUAUAACCGGCGAUUUCCGAAUGGGGAAACCCAGUGUGAUUCGUCAC